GACGAACGCUGGCGGCGUGCUUAACACAUGCAAGUCGAACGGAAAGGCCCUGCUUUUGUGGGGUGCUCGAGUGGCGAACGGGUGAGUAACACGUGAGUAACCUGCACUUGACUUUGGGAUAACUUCAGGAAACUGGGGCUAAUACCGGAUAGGAGCUCCCGCUGCAUGGUGGGGGUUGGAAAGUUUCGGCGGUUGGGGAUGGACUCGCGGCUUAUCAGCUUGUUGGUGGGGUAGUGGCUUACCAAGGCUUGGCCAGGUAGCCGGGCUGAGAGGGUGACCGGCCACAUUGGGAUUGGGAUGCGGCCCAGACUCCUACGGGAGGCAGCGGUGGGGAAUAUUGUCCAGUGGGAGGAGGCCUGAUGCGGCAACGCCGCGUGGGGGAUGACGGCCUUCUGGUUGUAAACCGCUUUCGCCUGUGACGAAGCGUGAGUGACGGUAAUGGGUGAAGAAGCACCGGCUAACUACGUG
rnacentral:rRNA from 1 species